rnacentral:rRNA from 1 species
GGGGAACCAGGACUUUUACUUUGAGAAAAUUAGAGUGUUCAAAGCAGGCGAUUGCCCGAAUAUAUUAGCAUGGAAUAAUAGAAUAGGACGUGCGCUCCUAAUUCGUUGGUUUCUAGGAGCGCCGUAAUGAUGAAUAGCGGUAGUUGGGGGCAUUCGUAUUCAGCUGCUAGAGGUGAAAUUCUUGGAUUUGCUGAGGACGAACUACUGCGAAAGCAUUUGCCAAAGAUGCACGCAUUGAUCAAGCACGAAGGAUGGGGGAUCCAAAACGAUCAGAUACCGUUGUAGUCCCAUCAGUAAACGAUGCCGACUAGGGAUUGGGCAAGGAUUUUUAUGACUUGCCCAGCACCUGAAGAGAAAUCUUUAAGUUUAGGUUCGGGGGGGAGUAUGGUCGCAAGGCUGAAACUUAAAGGAAUUGACGGAAGGGCACCACCAGGUGUGGAGCCUGCGGCUUAAUUUGACUCAACACGGGGAAACUCACCAGGUCCAGACACAAUAAGGAUUGACAGAUUGAUAGCUCUUUCUUGAUCUUGUGGUUGGUGGUGCAUGGCCGUUCUUAGUUGGUGGAGUGAUUUGUCAGGUUAAUUCCGAUAACGAACGAGACCU